rnacentral:rRNA from 1 species
GAUGAACGCUGGCGGCGUGCUUAACACAUGCAAGUCGAACGAAGCAUUUGCGACAGAUUUUUUCGGAAUGAAGUUGCUUAUGACUGAGUGGCGGACGGGUGAGUAACGCGUGGGUAACCUGCCUUGUACUGGGGGAUAGCAGCUGGAAACGGCUGGUAAUACCGCAUAAGCGCACAAUGUUGCAUGACAUGGUGUGAAAAACUCCGGUGGUAUAAGAUGGGCCCGCGUCUGAUUAGCUAGUUGGUGAGAUAACAGCCCACCAAGGCGACGAUCAGUAGCCGACCUGAGAGGGUGACCGGCCACAUUGGGACUGAGACACGGCCCAGACUCCUACGGGAGGCAGCAGUGGGGAAUAUUGCACAAUGGAGGAAACUCUGAUGCAGCGACGCCGCGUGAGUGAAGAAGUAAUUCGUUAUGUAAAGCUCUAUCAGCAGGGAAGAUAGUGACGGUACCUGACUAAGAAGCUCCGGCUAAAUACGUG